rnacentral:rRNA from 1 species
UCCUACGGGAGGCAGCAGUCGAGAAUCAUUCACAAUGGGGGAAACCCUGAUGGUGCGACGCCGCGUGAAGGAAGAAGGCCUUCGGGUCGUAAACUUCUGUCCUUGGGGAAGAAGAACUGACGGUACCCAAGGAGGAAGCCCCGGCUAACUACGUGCCAGCAGCCGCGGUAAUACGUAGGGGGCAAGCGUUAUCCGGAAUUAUUGGGCGUAAAGAGUACGUAGGUGGCAACCUAAGCGCAGGGUUUAAGGCAAUGGCUCAACAAUUGUUCGCCCUGCGAACUGGGAUGCUUGAGUGCAGGAGAGGA